rnacentral:siRNA from 1 species
ACAACAUGUCAUUCGGAUGGUCCA